UACGAAGGGGGCUAGCGUUGCUCGGAAUCACUGGGCGUAAAGGGUGCGUAGGCGGGUCUUUAAGUCAGGGGUGAAAUCCUGGAGCUCAACUCCAGAACUGCCUUUGAUACUGAAGAUCUUGAGUUCGGGAGAGGUGAGUGGAACUGCGAGUGUAGAGGUGAGAUUCGUAGAUAUUCGCAAGAACACCAGUGGCGAAGGCGGCUCACUGGCCCGAUACUGACGCUGAUGCACGAAAGCGUGGGGAGCAAACAGG
rnacentral:rRNA from 1 species